CACGUAACCUGAUCUAAAUCUGGAGAAAAACAGAAAUUGGAAAAGAAAAAAAGAAUGAAGGCAUCAAAAUGGAAGAUCACGGAUUAAUUCUUAUAUGGAAUAUAUUAGUGUGUAUAAGUACAGGUUUGUAUUUAUAUUUACGUGCAUGUAUGUGUUUUAUCAUAGCGUUGUCUUCUUUAACAUGUUUAAACAAAUAAAUCUAAACCUUGCAUGAACUAAAGAUAACAUUACGAAAUUGUGUUUUACAAAAAGAAUACGUAACUAAAUAUUCAAUUAAGAAAUAAAAAUAUAUGAAAUGAUUGCCAAUAAAACAUCUCUCUACCAGCGACUCAAAUUAGAAGUAGGAGUAAGCAACUAUGGGUCACAAAAACGGCCUUCGGCAUUCAGCGAAACACAUGCAUAAAAGGUCGCGAGUCGACAUGGCACAUGUAAAACAAUUUAGAAAAUAAAUACCAACUAGAUUAAUAUUCCACAAAACACAAAUAUGAUUUGCCAGUGUCUGAUUCAGGUUGGUGCAAAGAGGAUGCACACCCUCUUUGAUAGGAACUAUUUAUUGGCUCAUAAAAUUGUCCUUUGUUUCUUCAUUCUUCAUUUCAAAUCCAUGAUUCACGCCGGUAUACAGCGACAAACGACCAACGCUCCAAUGUCUAUAUACACUAUAUUUAUAUAGACAAUUUUAAUGUUUAUGUUGUAAUAUCAACAACAUUUAAACAAUGUAAAUCAUAACUUUUAUGCCAAUAAAACCAAUCUUAAAACGUACAAAGUCAUUCAUAUGUAUAUGAUUAUAACUUUAAUAAAACUUUUUAUUGUAGCGUUUACUUCUAACAUAUCAAGUACGUUCGCACCACCCGCUGUUGAAGGUAAUGGUUCUUUUCCUAUCUUAAUCCUUAUUUAACAUGUUACCUUUAAAAAAAACACAUUGAUGAUUUAAUUGCUCACAAAGUUGUUAUGUCAGUUUCCUCUUCAGUGAUCUGAUAUUCAAAAGGCGAAGACCAUAUACAACAAAAUGUAUAUUUAAAAGAGAGACUUUAAAUUUAUUGAUUGAAAGCUGCUUACGUUCCAGUGGCAAACAUUCAAUGCACAUUCAGGACAAAUUUUAGUUUAAAAUGGCUAUACGUGAUUUAUAGUAAACUAAUUCGUUUAACCAAAACAGGAAUUGUUAAGUUUACAAGGAAAUACCAAAGAUGCAUCUACACACUCAGAAUAAAAAAGAAAGAGAUGUGGUAUGAUUGACAACUGACCAGUCUCCUAAUCCUAAAUGCUGCAUUCUUGGCAGAGAAUCUCAAAACCGCGAGGCAGUUUUAAAUUACGUAUUUCUAAAUUUAUAAAAGAAAAUAUAAAUUCACAUCAGAUAUAUCAAAAUGCUGUCGUGGUCAUUCUCGGUUUGAUGGAUUAUUAUCCCAACAUCCAUUUGCUAUUCGUGAUCUCUUGUUAGCUGACUUGGUUUGUUUAAAUAUAUAUAAAAGCUCGUAACCCUCUUGAAGAUCAUAAAAACACACAUUUAGCAAAAUCUUUUCACAGAUAUAUAUUUGAUAAUAUACUCACGUUUCGUUUAUUUCAUUUCACAUAUAUAUCUGGAUACCAUCUAGAUGUUUUAAAGAAUGUACCGUUUGUCUAUUUCAAGGUUCAAGUUCUGAUGCAUCGUGGGUAAUUAUUGUUAUCCUUGCUGUAUUUCUAUUGGCGAUCAUCAUUCCAACAGGAAUUUGCCUUGGAAGGUAAGAUAACUCAGUAUUUAAGCAAUUUAUUGAGGUACCUAUAAUAAGAAACAUGAAUACAUACAUAGUUGCUUAUAUAAACUAAUGUAAAAUUUCACUUGUGUAUAUUGUAGACCGUACAUUUUGUACCGUAUGCUAUAAUGGUUGAAAAUGAAUAUAUUAUGAAAAUAACUCUACAAAUUGUAUACGUUCCAGGCGCUCUUCCGAGUGUGGUUCCCGUCACCAGGAACUUUAAAGCAAGGAAAGAUAAACUGUUUUGCUUUAAUUCAGAUAUUGCAAGACAAUUUCUAAUACAUGUACGUUAAUUAGAAAACUAAUUUUAAUUGUGUGUUUUUGUUUCCCCUUUGUCUAGGAGAAGAUGGAGAGCUGGAAAGAAUAUGACGACAACAACAAAUACGUCAAAAUGAAGAAAAAAUAUCUUUCAUACUUUCAUCAAGAUUAUCUAUAGAAGAUAUACAUGAAUUUUCAACUAUUUUGGGAUGGUGGUAGAAAAUUGAAGUACAAACAAAUGAUAAUUUCAUCAGGAUUUUUAUGUCGAAAAUAUACGUGAAAUUUUAAUUUAGUAGUUAGAUGGUGGAGGAUAAAUGUCCUUUUUUUUAUCUUGUUGUUUCAUUCAAGUACAAUGGAAGAUAUUUUACAAACAAAAUCUGGAUCAACAACAACUAUUUGACUCAAAGAUAGAACCAUGUUAUAAGUUUGGUUUUAUGACAGUUUAAAAUGAGCCAUACAAACUUGACUUGAAGAUCCGUAAAAGAGUACUUAAUGAAUACAUGUGUGUACUAUGUCAAUUGUAUGGGUAUAUUCUUCCCACAAAUACGUGGCAACACAAUUUGGGAAAACUCAAAUGACUAGUAUUUGAAAAUUGGCGAUACACUCUCUUAGUGCUUGUUUGAUGUAUGUGUAUGUACUUUGCAAAUAAAAAUAUUGAGCACGGUUUAACGGUAACAUGUCUUUUGUGUUGCUUUUUUUAAAGAUUAAAUGAAAAUAU
rnacentral:lncRNA from 1 species